rnacentral:precursor_RNA from 12 species
AGUGCCACAAGAGGUGAUGCGCUGGCGCCCCCACCAGCUGGCGUUCCCUGGCGUGGGAACGAGAGGCAGGGGCUGCUGGCUGGAGGGAGCGCCUUCUCUCACUCGCCGCCUCCGCGUC